rnacentral:rRNA from 1 species
UACAGAGGGUGCGAGCGUUAAUCGGAAUUACUGGGCGUAAAGCGUGCGCAGGCGGUGAUGUAAGACAGGUGUGAAAUCCCCGGGCUUAACCUGGGAACUGCAUUUGUGACUGCAUCGCUGGAGUGUGUCAGAGGGGGGUAGAAUUCCACGUGUAGCAGUGAAAUGCGUAGAUAUGUGGAGGAAUACCGAUGGCGAAGGCAGCCCCCUGGGAUAACACUGACGCUCAUGCACGAAAGCGUGGGGAGCAAACAGG